AUUGAACGCUGGCGGCGGGCCUAACACAUGCAAGUCGAACGGUAGCACAGAGAGCUUGCUCUUGGGUGACGAGUGGCGGACGGGUGAGUAAUGUCUGGGAAACUGCCCGAUGGAGGGGGAUAACUACUGGAAACGGUAGCUAAUACCGCAUAACGUCUUCGGACCAAAGUGGGGGACCUUCGGGCCUCACACCAUCGGAUGUGCCCAGAUGGGAUUAGCUAGUAGGUGGGGUAAUGGCUCACCUAGGCGACGAUCCCUAGCUGGUCUGAGAUGAUGACCAGCCACCCUGGAACUGAGACACGGUCCAGACUCCUACGGGAGGCAGCAGUGGGGAAUAUUGCACAAUGGGCGCAAGCCUGAUGCAGCCAUGCCGCGUGUAUGAAGAAGGCCUUCGGGUUGUAAAGUACUUUCAGCGGGGAGGAAGGCGUUAAGGUUAAUAACCUUGGCGAUUGACGUUACCCGCAGAAGAAGCACCGGCUAACUCCGUGCCAGCCGCCGCAGUAA
rnacentral:rRNA from 1 species